CAUCGCUGCGCGCCCGACAACGGCGCCUUCCCGCUCCCUAAUCCUGACGCCAGAGAGGCGCGGGCUUUAGCGGCUGAAGACAGCGGGAGGAGGUUGCGGCGGCGGGAAGAUGAUGGGGGAGGCUGCACUUUGGCGUAAAUUGCAAUCGAUUAGGGAUCGUUUCUCAGACUCGAGUUAGAAGUGAGAGUUCAGAUAAGUGAGGCCACCAUUGCUGCUUUGAACACCUCAGAAGGGGAGAAUGGAUUUAUCAGGAGUGAAAAAGAAGAGCUUGCUAGGAGUCAAAGAAAAUAAUAAAAAGUCCAGCACUAGGGCUCCUUCUCCUACCAAACGCAAAGACCGCUCUGAUGAGAAGUCCAAGGAUCGUUCUAAAGAUAAAGGGGCCACCAAGGAGUCAAGUGAGAAGGAUCGUGGCAGGGAUAAAACUCGGAAGAGGCGCAGCGCUUCCAGUGGUAGCAGCAGCACCAGGUCCCGGUCCAGCUCUACCUCUAGCUCGGGCUCCAGCACCAGCACCGGCUCCAGCAGUGGCUCAAGCUCUUCUUCAGCGUCUAGCCGCUCAGGAAGCUCCAGCACAUCCCGUAGUUCCAGCUCCAGCAGCUCCUCUGGCUCGCCAAGUCCUUCUAGGCGCAGGCAUGAUAACAGGAGGCGCUCCCGCUCCAAGUAAGCUCCCUUCCAGCA